rnacentral:lncRNA from 1 species
GAACCCGGGAGGUGGAGCUUGCAGUGAGCCGAGAUCGCGCCACUGCACUGCAGCCUGGGCGACAGAGUGAGACUCUGUCUCAAAAAAGAAAAAAAAAAAAGAUAAAAUUACCAGAAAAUAUUAAACAGGCAGCACUGAGAAGUGAAGGAAUAUUUGGGAGGAUCAGAAGCUUGGUCCUGAUUUUGCCAUCAACAGGAACUUGAUGACUUCAAGGGAGUCCCCAAACCCUGGGUUUCUGUUUUCUCAACUCUAACAUGAGGGGCUAGAUGCAUCUGGUUUAGUUAGUCUCCAUGAUGGUUUAGUUCGUCUCCAUGAUCCUGUGAAUUUCAGAUGUUGAAAAUCUUCGGAAAAGCCCUGAAAGAUGAACAGUCUUCACCAACCUCCUCCCUCCAGAAUAUUCCUCAAGAAUAUAAAAUGCCUCAUCAACAUGAGACAACAGCAGGAAGCACCCAUUCGUAGUAAUCCUCUGUAUGGAGGAGGCUGUUACAUAACCACAAAGGCACAAAGCUGCAGUUUUGAGAACAUCUUCCCACGCCAGUUCUAAGCAUUGACUUCAACUAUGGUUGCUAACACAAGAAUCGGCACUGGUGACUUUUGAGCCAUCAAUCAUCCUUUCCUAACACAUGAAUCUUUUGGAAAAUGGUCUCAAAUAGUCAAGACCCCCUGCUGGGAGGAGCUUCUAUCCUGCUCUGUGGAAGAAAUGGGCAUGCCAGAUGCCUGGAAGAUCAGAGGCUCACAUUCCAGCACCAUUCACAAUAGCAAGGACAUGGAAUCAACCUAAGAGCCCAUCAACAGUGGAUUGGAGAGAGAAAAUGAGGUACAAAUACACCAUGGAAUACUAUGCAGCCAUAAAAAAGAAUGAAAUCAUGUCCUUUCGCAACAUGGAUGGAGGUGGAAGGCAUUAUGACCUCCAUAAAUGACCUAAUGUAAGAACCUAAAACAAAAUAUUGCAUGUUAUCACUUGUAAGUGGGGCCUAAACGUUGAAGACACAUGAUCACGAAGAUGGGAACAAUAGGCACUGGGGAUCACUAGAUGGGGAAGGAAGGGAGCAGGGGGCAUGGGCUGGAGUGCCACCUGUUGCGUCCUAUACUUAUUCCCUGGGUGAUGGGAUCAUUGGGAUCCCAAGCCUCAGGGUGAUGCAAUUUACCCAUGUAAUAAACCUGCAUGUGUACCCUUUAAUCUAUGAUAAAAGUUGAAAUUAAAACAUAAACAAAUAAAAUCCUGAGUACUGUUUCAAAAAAUAUAUUUGAGGAAAGAAGGAAGGAAAGAGGGAUGGAGAGAUGGAGGAAGACUAAAGGAAGGAUCGUGGCCCUGAGAGAAUAGAGCACAGGCCAGGGGUGAGAUACAGAGUGAGAUGGGAGCUGAAUGGGGUCUCUGAAACUAGACAUGGAAGACACCAAAAGAAACAUUCCUACUUCAUCUUUCCCUGUGCCUGGGAUAAUUUACUCCUGGAUGGUAAAGAUAUGUCUUGGUUUCAUCUGUGUUAAAUAAACCUGCACGAUGUUA